CGUCUCAGUUCGGACUGUGGUCUGCAACCCGACCACACGAAGCUGGAAUCGCUAGUAAUCGUGAAUCAGAAUGUCACGGUGAAUACGUUCCCGGGUCUUGUACACACCGCCCGUCACACCAUGGGAGUCAGCAACGCCCGAAGUCAGUGACCUAACCGAAAGGGAGGAGCUGCCGAAGGCGGGGCCGGUAACUGGGGUGAAGUCGUAACAAGGUAAC
rnacentral:rRNA from 1 species